UGAUACCUCCACUGCUGCAGGCUGAAACCAUAGGCUGAUGAAGAAGGGGACAAUCAAAGGCAUUUCUGCAUGUCUUCCAGUAUUGUGCAAAUGUGAGACUGGAAGAAUAUGACCCUUGGCACACCAAGAAUUUUCUCAGCACACUGAGCACACAUGAAAGCAGAAUGUUCUGGUUUGUCCACUUUCUCGGAAGCUUUAAGAGACAGGCUUUAAUAAGUAACAUAUAAGUAGAGCAGUGUUUUUCAAAUCACUUCUUGUUUUGCUCAUUCGGAUAAACAUCCAUCAUUGCUACGUGCUUUUGUCAACAAAUAAAUAUGAGGAGAAACAAGGACUUGGGCUGCGGUUUCAGAAACCCAGUUCUCUGGCUCCUAACACACUCUCAUUUCUGGUGGCCUGUUCUUUCCCAGCUCUGAUCAGCAACAUUUGGCAUAGUCGGUAAGAUCAAAGAGGCAGAGAGACAGCUUCAUCAGAUACCAAAAGGGAAAACGGCUGCUCAGAGAAAAACAAGAAGAACUUUGGAAACCACAAAGACACAUCAAAGCAAGAUAUGAAUAAGAGACUCAAUUUUGAUUUUCAACCACCCACUGAAGAAAUGGAGAACCUGACAUUGGGAAGAACAGAGAGAAGAGUACCCACUACUUGUACUGCAAAUGCAUCAUUUCCAACAUGGGGACAAAUCAAGAAACUGUGUAAUGAAGGGCAAAAUGUGGUAACUUGUUCAGGACAAAGUAUGACUCCUGAAGCUUUGUUUCUUGCUAUGUUGACAUUAACAUCUAUUCAGCUACUACUGGACAUAUCAACACCAGGAGACACCACAACUGCUCCAAGAAUCCUCUGGGAUCCCACUCAGCACCAGAGGCUCAUGUCUGUAAUCUUAGCUACUCAAGAGGCAGCUAUCAAGAGGAAUAAUGGUUCAAAGCCAGUCCAGGUAAAUAGUUCACAAGAUCCUGCCUUAAAAAUAUCCAAUACACACACAA
rnacentral:lncRNA from 1 species